rnacentral:rRNA from 1 species
GAUAAACGCUAGCGGCAGGCUUAACACAUGCAAGUCGAGGGGCAGCAUAGAUUGUAGCAAUACAAUUGGUGGCGACCGGCGCACGGGUGCGUAACGCGUAUGCAACCUACCCGUCACAGGGGGAUAAUCCGGAGAAAUCUGGUCUAAUACCCCAUAACAUAUGGAUCGGCAUCGGUUCAUGUUGAAAUUUUCGGAGGUGACGGAUGGGCAUGCGUAGCAUUAGCUUGUUGGUGAGGUAACGGCUCACCAAGGCGACGAUGCUUAGGGGGACUGAGAGGUUGUCCCCCCACACUGGAACUGAGAAACGGACCAGACUCCUACGGGAGGCAGCAGUGAGGAAUAUUGGUCAAUGGGCGCAAGCCUGAACCAGCCAUGCCGCGUGCAGGAUGACGGCUCUAUGAGUUGUAAACUGCUUUUGUACGAGGGUAAAGUGGGUUACGUGUAACCUUUUGAAAGUAUCGUACGAAUAAGGAUCGGCUAACUCCGUGCCAGCCGCCGCAGUAA